rnacentral:rRNA from 1 species
ACGCUCGACAGUGCCAGCAGCCGCGGUAAUACGUAGGUGGCAAGCGUUGUCCGGAAUUAUUGGGCGUAAAGCGCGCGCAGGCGGUCCCUUAAGUCUGAUGUGAAAGCCCCCGGCUUAACCGGGGAGGGUCAUUGGAAACUGGGGGACUUGAGUGCAGAAGAGAAGAGCGGAAUUCCAUGUGUAGCGGUGAAAUGCGCAGAGAUAUGGAGGAACACCAGUGGCGAAGGCGGCUCUUUGGUCUGUAACUGACGCUGAGGCGCGAAAGCGUGGGGAGCAAACAGGAUUAGAUACCCUGGUAGUCCACGCCGUAAACGAUGAGUGCUAAGUGUUAGAGGGGUUAACCCUUUAGUGCUGCAGCUAACGCGUUAAGCACUCCGCCUGGGGAGUACGGCCGCAAGGCUGAAACUCAAAGGAAUUGACGGG